rnacentral:rRNA from 1 species
GCGCAGCAGUCGCGAAAGCGUGACGGGGCUACCCCGAGUGUCGUCCGCUGAGGACGACUUUUCCACGCUGUAAGGAGGCGUGGGAAUAAGGAGAGGGCAAGUCUGGUGUCAGCCGCCGCGGUAAUACCAGCUCUCCGAGUGGUAGGGACGAUUAUUGGGCUUAAAGCGUCCGUAGCCGGCUCAGCAAGUCUCCCGUUAAAUCCAACGAUUCAAUCGUUGGACUGCGGGAGAUACUGUUGAGCUAGGAGGCGGGAGAGGCCGACAGUAUUCCCGGAGUAGGGGUGAAAUCUUAUAAUUCCGGGAGGACCACCAGUGGCGAAGGCUGUCGGCUAGAACGCGCUCGACGGUGAGGGACGAAAGCUGGGGGAGCGAACCGGAUUAGAUACCCCGGUAGUCC